UGGGUGGUAUAUUUCAUCUAAAGCUAAAUACUGGCCAGAGACCGAUAGCGCACAAGUAGAGUGAUCGAAAGAUGAAAAGCACUUUGGAAAGAGAGUUAAACAGUACGUGAAAUUGUUGAAAGGGAAGCGCUUGCAAUCAGACUUGCGCCCGGGGUUCAGCGGGGUUUCUACCCCGUGUACUUCCCCGGGCUCAGGCCAGCAUCGGUUUGGGUGGUUGGAUAAAGGCCGGGAGAAUGUGGCCCUCUUCGGGGGGUGUUAUAGCUCCAGGCGCCAUGCAGCCCACCUGGACCGAGGACCGCGCUUCGGCUAGGAUGCUGG
rnacentral:rRNA from 1 species